rnacentral:rRNA from 1 species
CUGAACAUGGGGGGACCAUCCUCCAAGGCUAAAUACUACUGACCGACCGAUAGUGAACCAGUACCGUGAGGGAAAGGUGAAAAGUACCCCGGAAGGGGAGUGAAAGAGAACCUGAAACCGUGUGCGUACAAGCAGUAGGAGCUCCGCAAGGAGUGACUGCGUACCUUUUGUAUAAUGGGUCAGCGACUUACUGUCAGUGGCAAGCUUAACCGAUUAGGGCAGGCGUAGCGAAAGCGAGUCCGAACAGGGCGUCCAGUCGCUGGGUGUAGACCCGAAACCAGGUGAUCUAUCCAUGGCCAGGAUGAAGGUGCGGUAACACGUACUGGAGGUCCGAACCCACUAACGUUGAAAAGUUA